rnacentral:lncRNA from 1 species
UUAAGAUGGUUUAUGGUGGAAAUUUCGUGUGGGUGUGGUGAUUUAGGAAGAAUUUUUUUUGUUUUGGGGGUUAGGGUUUUGAAGGAAUUUGGUGGAUUUGUGGUUGGAUUGGUGGAAUUUGAAAGUGUUUAAGGUUGAUUGAGGGUUUAUAAGUGUUGGGUUAGAGAUUUUGUGAGUUGUUUUUGGGUGUUAAUGGAAGCUUGG